rfam:Caldimicrobium thiodismutans DNA, complete genome.
GCCCCUGUAGCUCAGCAGGAUAGAGCGUGAGAUUCCUAAUCUCAAGGUCGCAGGUUCGAAUCCUGCCAGGGGCG